rnacentral:pre_miRNA from 4 species
UCUUAUGGAUGAGCAAAGAAAGUAGUUUCUUGAGAUAAAAUCUACUCUUGGUGAAAAUGCUGUGAA